UACGGAGGGGGCUAGCGUUGUUCGGAAUUACUGGGCGUAAAGCGCACGUAGGCGGCUUUGUAAGUUAGAGGUGAAAGCCCUGGGCUCAACCCAGGAAGUGCACUCGAAACUGUCAGGCUUGAAUAUGGAAGAGGGUCGCGGAAUUCCCGGUGUAGAGGUGAAAUUCGUAGAUAUCGGGAGGAACACCAGUGGCGAAGGCGGCGACCUGGGCCAAUAUUGACGCUGAGGUGCGAAAGCGUGGGGAGCAAACAGG
rnacentral:rRNA from 1 species